AUGCACAGACCAACUGCUUCAACCUCGUGCAGCAUAUACAGCUCUUGUACUUUCGAAUGCCCUCCAUUCAUGAGCGACAUCGUCGUGCUCUCGGCGGCGAUGCCGCUUCGGCCGUCCGACCUUGCCAGCGGCAACGACGGCGCCUCCUACUGCCUUGCCCAGGUCCUCGACGUCCACAAGGACAGCAGCAGCUUUGUGGUCAGAGCUUCCCAGAGAGUAGACGAUUACGUCAACAGCUACGCGUUCGUUGCUAGCCUGCUCAGCUUCAUACCCUACCAACGCAUCUGGCGGUGCCUACGCUACCGAGCUAACGAUUUUUUUUCUGUCAAGAGAGACGACUCAGUUCUCAAGGCUAUCGCCGGGGAAGCAGAGGAAGACUCCAUCCAGCAGCUGGUAAGCUUCUUUGAGCACUUCCCUGACCGGCGGCACCGACGUGCCGCUAUCCGUAUCGGGCAGGCUGUCUGCGUUCAGGCUCAACGAGUCCCAGACUGGCGCCAUACUGAGCUGUGUGUCUGCGGUGCAGCGUGGCGGUGGCGGUGGUGGUGCGAGCACCAAGGUUAG
rnacentral:rRNA from 1 species